ACAGGAUUAGAUACCCUGGUAGUCCACGCCGUAAACGAUGUCGACUUGGAGGUUGUUCCCUUGAGGAGUGGCUUCCGGAGCUAACGCGUUAAGUCGACCGCCUGGGGAGUACGGCCGCAAGGUUAAAACUCAAAUGAAUUGACGGGGGCCCGCACAAGCGGUGGAGCAUGUGGUUUAAUUCGAUGCAACGCGAAGAACCUUACCUACUCUUGACAUCCAGAGAACUUUCCAGAGAUGCAUUGGUGCCUUCGGGAACUGUGAGACAGGUGCUGCAUGGCUGUCGUCAGCUCGUGUUGUGAAAUGUUGGGUUAAGUCCCGCAACGAGCGCAACCCUUAUCCUUUGUUGCCAGCGAUUCGGUCGGGAACUCAAAGGAGACUGCCGGUGAUAAACCGGAGGAAGGUGGGGAUGACGUCAAGUCAUCAUGGCCCUUACGAGUAGGGCUACACACGUGCUACAAUGGCGCAUACAAAGAGAAGCGACCUCGCGAGAGCAAGCGGACCUCACAAAGUGCGUCGUAGUCCGGAUCGGAGUCUGCAACUCGACUCCGUGAAGUCGGAAUCGCUAGUAAUCGUGGAUCAGAAUGCCACGGUGAAUACGUUCCCGGGCCUUGUACACACCGCCCGUCACACCAUGGGAGUGGGUUGCAAAAGAAGUAGGUAGCUUAACCUUCGGGA
rnacentral:rRNA from 1 species